GCGCUCAUAGCUCAAUGGUUAGAGCACGGGCCUCCGAAGCUCGGGAUUGUGGUUCGAUUCCACAUGAGCGCA
rnacentral:tRNA from 1 species